CUUGGUAGCCCUAAAGCAAAGAUUUGGGUUUUUGACGAGAAAGAAAGGAUGGCCGGGCAGCAAAUUCUCAAGCGCAUUCCAAAGAUCAAGUUCCCGGAUCGUCGCGCGGCAUCCGGCGGGAAAGCGCCAUCAAUUCCGACUCCUACGGGCGCUUCUAGCGGCGCUGGGAGUGCCUCGAUUCAACCAAAGCGGGUGCCAUUGUCCAAGGAAGAGAUGGAAGUGAUCACAAUGGGAGGUCGCUAGGCGAAAUUUGUUGGACGCUUGGUUUGAUACUAAAUUGCUUCGUUCUCGAGCUUGGGAAUUACAAGCAUUUUGUUUCUGUGA